rnacentral:lncRNA from 1 species
GAGCACUUAACUUGCCGGAGCCAAGAAAUCGCUGGUACUUGAUGGCUGUUUCAGAGAAGGAAACAACAUUCCUCUGAUGCUAACUGGUGCUUCUGAGAGCAAAAUGUCAGGGAGGAGAGAAGCAUGGCCUCUCGAGACAAACCCAGGCUGCUAAGAAUGUAAGCUCUGGUCUCACUUUGCGUUCCAGCCAAACACCUAAGUGCUCCUUUCUAUGACCAAAGGUGAUAUACUUCAUCCCUCUCACAGAGCCCUUUGCUAUGACUCUGAAG